rnacentral:lncRNA from 1 species
CCCUAAUACUGUGCGUUCAUAGCACCUACUGAAGGCAGCCUCGCUGCUAAAACAGCUCUUGCUUCCGAGGUGGGGUACUUUUUUUGCGUGAGAUAAGGAUGACAUUACUUUUCUAUCAUAGGUUUAUUUUAGUCUCGAGUUUCUCUUUCUUGCAAAGCACCCAAAAGUCACAGAUGCUAAAAGACUGUGCAUUUCGACAGCGUUAACCCUGUCAUUUCAAAGACAUCUUUCCUAGAGGAGGGCACAUCCCAGGCAUGCAGAAAAGACCCAAGAAGCUGUUCAGAUUCCAGGGCUGUAAACAAUCACCGCUUUUGUAGACAUGCUUUUUCCCCCUUAAUAAUUACCCUGAUCCGAAAACUUAAACUUUAAGCUUUGUACAUUAGUUCAUUAUUUCUAAGCAGUGCCUCUUCCUUGCAAUUCCUCAUUUGCCGUUCAGCACAAAGGCGAUCAGAGGGCAUUUAACCUGGAAAACCAAGUCUCGCUCGGGUAUAGAAAGCAGCGAACUCUGGAUACAGGACCGGCAGCCCGUUUUCUAGCCCUCUCGCUGCAACCACUGGCGAACCCCUUUUACCCGUGUGUACAUGCGAGAACGCUCCCUCCCCACGGCGCUCAGGAGACCCGGGUACCAAACCCUCCCAUCCCGGCACGGGGCUGACGAGCGCCUCGUUGCUUUUCAAGCCACUCCGUGACCCGCGACAUGAAGUUAUCACGACAGGACGAAACGCGACUGUUUUCACCACGACGGGGGAAAACACUCAGGGAACACCAUCAAAACUCCUCCUAAAGCGCGGCUCUCACCCACCCCGCACCCGAACUUUGGACACGGGAUGAACCGCGGGGAGGGACGAACAACGAGCUCUUCCCCGGGCGGCGACUGGAACCCAGUGCCCGGCAACACCCGCUACCGCCGCCGCCGCCGCCUUAACGGUCCGAAGCGAGCUGACAAUAAGCACCAUGAGGUUUCUCCACGUCCCCGUGCUGGCUGGUGUCGCUGGUUGCUCCGGAAGGGACCGCGGGGCUGUACCAAUCUCCGUCCCUUCCCGUCAAAGAGAAAGCUAAGACCUCCCUCAGGCAUUCACACGGAGCGCCAAGGCCACUGAUGUUUUCUCCAGGUUUGCUGUUCAUUUUGAAGCCAUGGAGCAAGGAUACUUUACAGCAGGCUCUCUGCUCUGUCUUGCAAGCCACAGAGGGGUUCCGGCUGCUCAGCCCUGCAUUAACUCGGUUGCCUGCUAUGCUGGAUAUGAGACUCAUAUCCAGACUUUUCCUGUUAAUGUUAGAUCUUCAAAGGCCUCAAAAGAUGCCUAUGCAGAAUAGGAUGCAUAGGAAUGGGAUCCUCUAGAUUCUCAGGCUGUAGAGGUUUACCUUUGUUUUCCAAGCACCUAAGCAGAACAUAUCCUAACCCACAUGAUAGACAUGAAACUCCCCUCACCUGCUUUCUUCCAAGAAGUACAGUGUUUAAGCAAAGUUCACAGACAUCAGAAGAGCCACUCUCCCUGUUGGAUGAUAGCCUGAGUCCAAGAAGUCUGUUAAGCUGGAGGAAAAGCGAGACAUUAGAGAGGCCCACUGGGUUUUAAGUGUUGAAGCCUUCCCAUCAGGCCAGCUUUCCAAGUCACCUUCAGCAGCAUGGAACUCCAGCCCAAAGCUGCUUGCUGGUGGCUAGGGAGCGGGUCACAUCUGGCUUGAAUUUAGCAUUUGCUAUUUCUUAGCACUCUAAAGACUGUUUAAUUUAUGCACAGCCUGCAUGUGUGUACAUGUGUGUGUCUAUGUAUUAAGUAAGAGACAGCUGGUCCUAUGUAGGCAAGGUUGACUGUUACCCCUGAGGCAAGAGGCCCAUGGAAAGCAGCCUGGCCGGUGGUGUAUUAUUGCCCUUUACUAUUCUUUGACCUCCACUUGAUAUAUUUUUCCAUAACCCUAGGCAGUGAGCUCGCUGUGGGUGGGAACUAUCUGUUUGUUAUUGUCUGUUAAAUGAGGGCCUCGUUGUGGAAUACAGCUUCUGAGCAUCACUUCAAGGCAAAUAAUACCAACAGGCAAGGUGGCCAGCAUCUGCCUCAACAGGCAAGGUGGAUGUUGCCUCAUCCAGG